GACAGAGGGGGCAAGCGUUGUUCGGAAUCAUUGGGCGUAAAGGGCGCGUAGGUGGUUCUGUAUGUCUACCGUGAAAGCAUACAGCUCAACUGUAUUUUGUCGGUAGAAACUGCAGGACUUGAGGCUGGGAGGGGCUGGUGGAAUUCCCUGUGUAGCGGUGAAAUGCGUAGAUAUCUGGAGGAACACCGGUGGCGAAGGCGGCGUCCUGGACCAACACUGACACUGAUGAGCGAAAGCCAGGGGAGCAAACGGG
rnacentral:rRNA from 1 species